GACGAACGCUGGCGGCGUGCUUAACACAUGCAAGUCGAACGGAAAGGCCCUGCUUUUGUGGGGUGCUCGAGUGGCGAACGGGUGAGUAACACGUGAGUAACCUGCCCUUGACUUUGGGAUAACUUCAGGAAACUGGGGCUAAUACCGGAUAGUAGCUCCUGCUGCAUGGUGGGUGUUGGAAAGUUUCGGCGGUUGGGGAUGGACUCGCGGCUUAUCAGCUUGUUGGUGGGGUAGUGGCUUACCAAGGCUUUGACGGGUAGCCGGCCUGAGAGGGUGACCGGCCACAUUGAGACUGAGAUACGGCCCAGACUCCUACGGGAGGCAGCAGUGGGGAAUAUUGCACAAUGGGCGGAAGCCUGAUGCAGAAACGCCGCGUGCGGGAUGAAGGCCUUCGGGUUGUAAACCGCUUUCGCCUGUGACGAAGCGUGAGUGACGGUAAUAGGUAAAGAAGCACCGGCUAACUACGUG
rnacentral:rRNA from 1 species